GCCUAGCUGGCUCAGUUGUAGAGCAUGCAACUUUUGAUCUCAGGCUCAUGAGUUCAAGCCCCAUGCUGGGUG
rnacentral:tRNA from 1 species